AACGUAGGUGGCGAGCGUUAUCCGGAUUUACUGGGCGUAAAGCGCGUUCAGGCGGUCUGGCAAGUCGGGCAUGAAAUCUCUCGGCUCAACCGGGAGGGGCUGUCCGAUACUUCCAGACUUGAGGGCAGUAGAGGAGGGUGGAAUUCCGCGUGUAGUGGUGAAAUGCGUAGAUAUGCGGAGGAACACCUGUGGCGAAGGCGGCCCUCUGGGCUGCUCCUGACGCUCAAACGCGAAAGCUAGGGGAGCGAACGGG
rnacentral:rRNA from 1 species